AAGGGCUUAGCUUAAUUAAAGUUUCUGGUUUGCGUCCGGUUGAUGUGGGGUUAUAAUCUCACAGUCCUUA
ensembl:Mt_tRNA